UACAUUGGCAUCUGGGAGGGGGGCUCCAUGUGUGGUCACGUGAACUCUGAGAACGAACCUGGCUGAGCACAGUCGACCUUGUCACUGUCAUGACCCAAGGCGUCCUCUGUGACUGGACAUGGGGCGGGGUGCGUUACGUAGAUGACUCGUUAAGCUCUAGUGGCUAACUCAGUGCGUCCAUGAAGGCUGUGCGGAGAUGCGGCCGGCAGAAGGCAAACAUAGAUGACGCUGUGGAUAUCGGUGUAAAUACGGGUAUGGCCAGUUGGUCAAUACAGAAGGGUUUGUUUGAAGGCCUUCGCUCACACGAUUGUGGCUGCUGGCAAAUCCAAAAUCUAUAAGGCAGGCUGGCGGCUGGAGCCUCAGGCAGGAUUUCUACGAGGCAGAAUUUCUCCUCCUUCAGGAAACCUGCUUUCCCUCGGAAGGCCUUCUGUGGGCUGCGUGAUGUGCUCCCACAUGCUCAGGGGCAAGCUCCUUUAUUGGCUGUAGGCAUCGGCCACAUCCCCAAAACACCUGCCCAGCAACCCUGAGAUGAGUGCUUGGGUUCGUCUCCAGGUACGCUAAGCUUGGCCCACAUAAAACUGACUGCCACACACUGACGUUCUCAGGUGAGAGAUGGGAGACUCAGAGAGGCCACCUCCUUUGCCAGGGUUGUAGAGCAAUGCAAGGGCUUGAGUGGUCAGGUCUUUGGGUCUCAUUGCCUGUGGUUCUAAACUAGCAGAGUGUGGAACGCCUCGGCUUCUACUGACCCUGUGGCCCCGGCAGGGCCUCCACCAUCAGGACCACCGAGCACGCCCUCCUGCCAGGAACGACGUCCUCCUUCCUGAGAAGUUUCUCGUGGGUGGGAGGGAUGGGAACGGGACUCUUGACACCUCCUUGGUGCCCCAGGCCCCCCCUCGCAUGGCAGACCACCCAGAAGGUUCUUCCGGCCCCUUUUCCAAAGCGCUCCUGCCUCACUUAACCCAGCCCAGGUGAACUGAUGACUGUGGGAAGAGAUGUUUCCAGCAGCACACUGUCUUGUAAUCCAAGGGGCCCUGGAAAAAGGGGGCUCGCAGCGGCACUGUGGUCUCAGAGUCCAUGAGAGAGGAAACACAUCUGUCCCUGUAUUUUCCGUAGACACCCCCCUCGCCUCCCCCACGUCCCCACAGGCUGUCAUAUUGUUUCCAGUUGUGUUUAUGGUAAACUCAGGCCAUAACACGCCUCUGUCGUUGUAAAAGAUGGAAAGAGUCUUAGGAGAGAAAUUUUCAUCCCAGGCCUUUCAAGCGGCAUUUUCCCGGUGGUAGAGGUGAAUGGGAAACAUGAAGCAGCUGCCUGCAGGAACGUUUUUCCCUCUGUGGCAAGGAUAAAAAGUGAAAAGCGUUUGCUGAAGAUGGAAAGAGACACUGUGCAAACCAAUAUGCACAGCUCCUGAGGCCUGUGCUGGGGGCCGUGGCAUGCUGACGUCUCUCCAAAUAUGCAAGUCAGAGAAGGGCUGACUCACAGGUCACGGAUUGCAAAAAAUAUGGCGCAAGCCUGACUUCGAACUUUCAAAGGGACAAGGACGUGCACCCCACAGCCACAGCCCCAGACCAGGGUGUAGGCCGUGGGGCUCCAGCUCCCUUCUGGGCAUCACUGCUGUGUGUCCUUGGGAGAGUGUCUCCACCUCUCUGGCACCUCCCUUCACUCUGGAAACCUGUCCAUCAGGCCAGGGGACUGGGGUGGCGUGCGGCCUACCUCCUCCACCUUCCGAGCCCAACCCCAAAACUGGAUAAGCAGCCAGCUUGCACUCUGAACCCAGAACUGAAACGAGGAUUAAGCUUUGCUUUGUGUGUGCCACAAACCAGACACCACAUCCAACCUCCGGCUCUAGGGCCAGGAACUCCAAUCACCAAGCAUUUUUGGAAAACCAAAUCAAAGCUAGAUGGCUUUUCUAACAUGUUAUAUUGUAUUAAAGAUUGAAAAUGACAUUGAGAAGUAAAAAUAAAUUGGAAAUAACUGGAAAAAUCUAAAUGUCCAGUAACAUUGGGGGAUUCAUUAAAAAUUCUGACCCAAUGGAACGUCGACGAGCCACCACAAUGACCUUUUUAAAGAAUGU
rnacentral:lncRNA from 1 species